UUUUGAUCCGACGGCAAUCGGGAGAAAGCGGAUCAGGUCUCCGAUUCUCGCCGGAUGCUAGCGGUGAAUGCAGCCGGAAGUUCCGAUCGAUGUGCAUUCGUGUAGUUGUUGGAGUGUUUGGGUCAAGAAUCGGGGGAACCAGAUUCCGGAUUGUGUUACGACGGUCAGCAACACUAUCUGUGGCAGCAGUUCCGGUACGAUUAAAAUGAGUGGAGCGAUAAGGCGGUGGCAGUCAACGUUCGGCGGAGUGGGUUCUUCUCCCGGACCCAAUUUCACCUCGAAUUUUGAUCGAGCUGUGGAGGAGGCAUUAUAAUCGUUCCCAGAAACGUAUCAGUCUGCAUUAAAUAAGAAGCUCGUUCCUGAUUUACAUGUGCAGAAAAUAACCAACCUCAAUCGAUGGGUUGACGGCACCCAAGAAAAAAACAACAAUACGGGACAAAAACAUCUGAAGAAGAUCAUGCGUAUCAAUUGUUGUCGGACCCGUUCAACGAGCCAAUGCUGGCCACUUGUGGCUGCGACCGCACGAUAAAGCUGUGGCAGUCAUAUUCGCGCAUUUGCUACCGGACACUUCAGCUCACCGAUUCCGUAGUAAUCACGUCGGUCAUCAUUCCGAACGGGACGAUUCUGGCCACCGGCGGGUACUAGUACAUCCGGCUGUACGACACAAACUUAAGAUAUCCGCUGGUUAACUGAAGUGCGUAAUGAAGAACGUGACCCUGACCGGAUUCCAGGGUGAUGGCAAAUGGAUCGAGGGCCUCGUGGCGCGGUGGUUAGCGGCUUCGGCUGCCGAUCCCUAAGUUGCUAUGGGGCGCGGGUUCGAUUCCCGCCUAAUCCUAUGGAUUGCUUUGCUUUUGCUUUUUUGGCAAGUGGAUAUUCGGCCUGCAAGUGGAUGCCUAGUACCAGUCAACGCGGGUCAAAUUGGACGAGCACGAGCAGCUGUUUCCGCAGGUGGAGGCUUCCAACCAAGACACUGGUUGAAACGGAGCCUUUUAGCAAUGGUCAACUAUAAAGUAAAUUGUUGUGCUUGGAGCCUUUGGAACAGCUGAAACAGCGAAACUCAGCUCAAGCGAACGGAUCCUAAUGUUACGCGUUAGGAUGUGAAUUCAGUCUCGUUUCAAGCCUGCUGGUGGCCUGUUCCAUCGACAGAACAGCGAAGAUCUAAGUCACUAAAUGCCCUUUAGGUGCAAGACCAACAAUAAAAGACAAUAUUAGCAAAGCCAUAAAGGUCAACGUGUAAGCAAAUAUGGCACGUGUACUGGCGCAGAUGUUCUUCAACAAGGUACUAGUCGUAUUCAGCUUCAAAGGUUAAUCAGACGAGCGACCUUCCGAAUAAGAACCUACGACGAUAUUCACCUCGCAUCGUUGUCAACAAUUACCAUAGCGUUGAGAAACAGACGUGACGCUAGAUCAGGGCGAGACGUCAUCAAGCAGACCAUGGACUGGAUGGAUUCAGCCUCGGAUACUAGCAUCAAUAACAAUGUUCGGUGUGUUCCGAAAUGGCGUCCACUUCCUGAACCGGACGACGCCCAUGAAGCCGAUUCUUGAGUUGCGAGUGCUCAGUCUACUGACGAUCAGUUCGUGCUACAUUUCCGACAAAACGCUGCGCGGUUCGAAGCUGUGCAGUUUGGCAUGGGUAUUGCACCGGCUGUAAUUUCCAUUUAAAUGUUUAAAGCACUGGUGUAAACUUGUGAACUCAUUAACUUUGAAUAAAAUUGAAACUGGAAAUGGGUAUCACGACAUUUAAUUCCCAUAAGAAUCAAGAGGUCCCCAUGUUCGGAUUUGACUCGCUACAACAGAUUUUAGUGUAUGUUCAAACAUAUGAUUACUUACCAGACUACGAAACGUUAAAUGAAUACCUAAUAAAUGAUGUUUAAGUGCUUAUUACUAUUG